AUAAUGAUAUGUUUAGAUGUACCUCUAAUUCCACUCAUUGUAUUCAGCACUUGACUUUUUUUCACAUCUCUGAUAAUCUGCUCAUAUUUGAAUUAGGAGACCAAACAGAUGACUGGAAAUCGGUACCAUUGAGGAUUUACUCAAUCGUCUCUAUAGACUAGAUUAUAUUUCGACCUACUAACAUGUACGUUAAUUGAAAACGGAAGGAAUCCUAAACUGCAUUCCUGAGAAAUAAGAUGACUCAGAUUCUUACAGAAUGGUUAGAUAAUUACCUGCAGUUUAAUGUUCUUCCUUGCUGCACAACUAAAGUAGAUGUGAUUUCACCAUCGAGUUCUCCAAGCCUUGGGAUAUUGCCAAUAUUGGUACACAAAAG